rnacentral:piRNA from 1 species
UGUAGGAGACACGUUCCAUUGUAGGU